rnacentral:lncRNA from 1 species
CUUUUCCCUUUGACUGGCAGGGCAAGGUAGAAAGUGUCUUAAUGUUAUUUUAAGUGCUUACUACUAUUUAGAUGCUGAAGGGGAUGGAGGGCUAUAAGAGGGAGUGUUAUACACUUCUAGCCACCCACAUACAGGCACUCAAGUCCAAGCUCACGGGAGGCAGGAUCCUCCAGAACAGCGGAAUAGUUAAGCCAGAUCCUGGCUAGACGCACUGGAGCCAGUCUUAGCCAGACUUGGGUGACACCUGUGAGCUGCUGUUUCCUGAGCUCCUUCAGGUGUGGGAAAGGCCUCCAGGUGUGGGAAAGAAAAUCCAAUUGUCACUUCGUAAAUCAGCCUAGAAUGCCCCUCUACCAGGGAUCUCUGCAAUAUCCCAGAAGCAGGUUCUUUUUUAGCAACUGCUGGUAGGGAUUCUCCUUUAACAGCAAACUAUUACAUUUAGCAUGGCUAAGCAAUGAGGUCCUACUGUACAGCAUAGGGAGCUAUGUCCAAUCUCCUGGGAUAGACAAUGAUGAAAAAUAAUACAAAAAAAAUGUAUAUGUGCAUGACUGAAUCAGUGUGCUGUGUAGCACAAAUUGGCACAGCCCUGUAAAUCAACUAUAUUUUAAGAAAAAAAGAAAACGUGAUAAAAUUCGUCAAAAUAUAAAAUUCUCCUUAGGAUAAGACCAAUAUAAAUAUAAUCAUGGUUUUCAUUUUUAAUAUCUUACCUUGGAAAUUAAUAUCAACCACUACAUGUGUGGUGUGACUUGUCAAACAAUAAACUUUACUAAGAAUUUUGAGAGAACAUAUGUGUUCCUGACACGCAUCUUACUGCCUGGCACAUAGUAAUAAUUCAAUAUUUGUUGAAUGAAUUCCCUUUCCUACAGUCAUUUCUUUUCCACUCCUUGAAUUUAGGGCUGCACCUGCAGCAUAUGGAGGUUCACAGGCUAGGGGUUGAAUCGGAGCUGUAGCUGCUGGCCUACGCCACAGACACAGCAACGUGGGAUCCAAGCCGUGUCUGUGAUCUACACCACAGCUCACGGCAACGCCAGAUCCUUUAACCCACUGAGCAAGGCCAGGGAUCGAACUUGCAUCCUCAUGGAUGCCAGUCAGAUUCGUUUCCACUGAGCCACAAUGGGAACUCCCAGAAGGCAAUUUUUAAGGGAAAGAUUUGAAGGAGCGAAAAUAAGGAGGAAGGGUAUCAGAGUCUCAAUUCUAUCAGUGUAUUCCUAAAGCUGAAAAUAAAUAAAUAAAUAAAACUUUUCCUUUAGGCAUUAGUAUCUGAAAUCAUAGCUUACUGGUGGAAAAAUUUCAAACGGAUAAUGGACAGCAGCAAAGAUGGUGCUAUGAGUGCAGCAUAACUCAGUUUCUCCACUUCUGCUUCUCUUGGGGGAAGAGUCUGAAAAGUUUUAUCAGAUCUCUUUGUAAAUCAGUAUGUUAGGAAUUUGUGUGGAAUGGAAUUCAAGUACAAUCAUCUCAAAGUACUAUUUUCUUGAGUCUGAGUAUUCCAUUUCAAAAAGAUUUAACAUUUAAAUAAUACUCUGAGAAAUGAAGAUAUUUUGAGAAUAUAAUAAUGUACAAGCUAGUAGGGUAGCCCAAGGUUUAGAUUAGCUAUGAUAAAUACUUUAAGUGUAUCUCUUGAUUCUGUCCAGCUUUUACUUUAUCCCAUGUAUAAUUUGACUUAUUUUUAAUAUGAAUGGAAGAGCUAAAGAUGCUGCAUCUCACAAGCACACACACACACUCACACACAAUUUUAUAUACUAAUGAAUAUCAGAGAUGACACUUUAGUGAUUUAACAGUAGGAUCUUUUUGAAUUUUGAAAUAAAUUUGUACCACUUAAUAGGUACAAUAGGUUCAAACCAUUGAUAUAUGUUUAAAGUUCUAUAAGCUUUGUUUUCUCAAAGUUCACUUUUGUUUAGGUAUCUUAUUUAUUUUUUGCAUAACCUGAAAAACGUAGCAGCAUGUUAAAAAAUGUUCAGUGAAAAUUUCUUUCACUUACUGUUUUUCUGUGUGUCAGAUCUGGACACAUUCAGAAUUCUGGUGUAGCUUUGGGAAGCUGACCAAUUCUGACUCAGCGCUAUGAGAAGGUGAUUUUGGAAUUUAAACAAGUAAUCAGAGUUGCAUGCUUUUAUAACUCUUGAUACUGUUCCUAAUAUUUCUUCUAAAUAUCUUUUUUUACUUUGUUAAUUUUUGAAAUCACCCAGAACCAGUACUCAAUUACCAACAAACUUCGAAUAAAUACUAUGUAUAUGACAAAAUAUUAUAUAUCUUACGUUUUAUGGAUGAAAAACAGAGAUAAAGAUAAUAAGAUAAUAAGUGGUAAAGCAGACCCUUAAACUGGCGUUUGUCUGACUCCAAAAUCUUUUCACUUAACCAAUACAUUACUAUGUCAGGAAACACACUUAGCAAGAAGUAACAGGAAAUCUAACCCAGAGUGGCUUAAAUAAUAAGAAAAUUGUAUUAUCUCAUAACAUGUGAUCCCAGAUGGGGUGGCUCUAGCAUAGAUAAUUCAGUAACUCAAAAAUAUCACAGAGACACAUAUUCUUUCCGUCUCUCCUCUAUGUUAAUUCUCUGUCACUGUGUUGAGUUUCCUCAUGGUCUUAAGAUGACUGCUAUGGUUUGAGGCAUCCCAUUCUUAUAUUUCAAUGUCAAAAGUCAAAAUACAGUGAAAAGACUCAUUUUUUUUUUUCUUUCUGAAUACUUUUUAGGAGCUAAGAAAUAUUUUUUCUAAAGCUCUCCUAGAAGUCUUACCCUCAUAUUUCAUUAGCCUGAGUCAGGUCAUAUGGCCCUUUCUAAAUAGAUCAUUGUAAAAAAGGAAUGAAAUCACCACAAUUGAUUUAGAAAAAUCAAAAUUUACUGGAGCUAGAGCUGUCCUCUCUUCAAGGACAUGGUGCAUGGAAAAAAAUGUGGGUAUCUGAACAAAUUUUGUUGUGUUUUGUUUUUUUUAGCAAAAGUGGGGAAUAACUCUAGUAGGCAACCAAUAAAGUCCAUUAUAAAAUAGCUAUCUCAUGAUCACCAGGGACAAGGAGGAAGACAGGGAAACACUAAAAGGGGAAAGUUGGAGAUCAGUGGAAAAAGAAAGAAAAAAAUAGUAAUCUCGUGUAUAGCAGGUGUUCGAUAAUUGCUGAUGACAGAAAACGAAUGAAAUACAAUUUACAACAAAGUUAAUCUGACACAUAUUUAAUGAUAUGUGUUGUUCCAUGACAUUUCAGGCCAAUAGUUUAGUAGUCCACAUAAAUAACUGUAAUUAGUACUACUUUUUGACAGAUCUUUAUAGCUUUUAAUCUUCUGUGUUAAUUAACUAGUUUAAGAACAAGCGUCAAUGUUCAGGGGCUUUUUUUUUUUUUUUUUCACUCAUCUUACAAAUGAUUGAACCUUAAUCAUAUAUUCACCGCCAAGUACUAGAAUGAUUCCUCAAGAAGUGGA